AUUGAACGCUGGCGGCAUGCUUUACACAUGCAAGUCGAACGGCAGCGCGGGCUUCGGCCUGGCGGCGAGUGGCGAACGGGUGAGUAAUGCAUCGGAACGUGCCCAGUAGUGGGGGAUAGCCCGGCGAAAGCCGGAUUAAUACCGCAUACGACCUGAGGGUGAAAGCGGGGGACCGAAAGGCCUCGCGCUAUUGGAGCGGCCGAUGUCGGAUUAGCUAGUUGGUGGGGUAAAGGCCUACCAAGGCGACGAUCCGUAGCUGGUCUGAGAGGACGACCAGCCACACUGGGACUGAGACACGGUCCAGACUCCUACGGGAGGCAGCAGUGGGGAAUAUUGGACAAUGGGGGCAAGCCUGAUCCAGCCAUGCCGCGUGGGGGAAGAAGGCCUUCGGGUUGUAAAGCCCUUUUGUUGGGGAAGAAAAGCAGUAGGCUAAUACCCCGGUGGGAUGACGGUACCGAAAGAAUAAGCACCGGCUAACUACGUG
rnacentral:rRNA from 1 species